rnacentral:rRNA from 1 species
UGGCUCAGAGCGAACGCUAGCGGCAGGCUUAACACAUGCAAGUCGAGCGGAGAGCUUCGGCUCUCAGCGGCGAACGGGUGAGUAACACGUAGGUAACGUACCUUCUGGUGGGGAAUAACUGGCCGAAAAGGCCUGCUAAUACCGCAUAUGUCCUUCGGGAUAAAAGCCUUCGGGCGCCAGUAGAUCGGCCUGCGGCCCAUUAUUUAGUCCUAGUUGGUAGGGUAACGGCCUACCAAGGGUACGAUGGGUAGCUGGUCUGAGAGGAUGAUCAGCCACACUGGAACUGAGACACGGUCCAGACUCCUACGGGAGGCAGCAGUGGGGAAUAUUGGACAAUGGGCGAAAGCCUGAUCCAGCCAUGCCGCGUGGGUGAUUGAAGGCCUUCGGGUUGUAAAGCCCUGUCGGAGGGGACGAAAAGCCGCAAGGUUUGACGGUACCUUCCAAGAAAGCACCGGCUAACUCCGUGCCAGCAGCCGCGGUAAUACGGAGGGUGCAAGCGUUGCUCGGAAUUACUGGGC